rnacentral:tRNA from 1 species
GGGCCCGUGGCUCAGCCAGGAUAGAGCGGCGGCCUCCUAAGCCGUCGGUCCCGGGUUCAAAUCCCGGCGGGCCCGCCA